GAAAAACCCUGCGAAUCACCAAAACAAGCAGUUCAUGUCUGAGCAGAAGGAAUGGGAAAGGAGUCCUGGAGGAGAUGGCCGCAUGGAGCAUGCAGAUGCCUGUGCCAGAAAGAGGGAAGGGGCGCAGGAAGCAGGAAGGAUAUGCUAGCAGAGCCAAGAGACCCAACAUCCACCUAGGGGCUCAGAGGAAGAGUCAAGGGGAGGGAUCCCCUCUGUCAUUGCUAUGGAUUUGGUGGCUCUCUGCUGAAUCAAAGGAAAAGUCCUAGAGGACAUGAGAACUCAGUAUGGAACUUGGAACAAUGGCGGCUGGAGAGAUGGCUCAGAGGUUAAGAGGACUGGCUACUCUUCCAGAGGUCCUGAGUUCAAUUCCCAGCAACCACAUGGUGGCUCACAACCAUCUCAUAACAACAGAGCAGAGAUCUGGUGCUCUCUGCUCACGUGUAGGUGUAUAUGCAGA